AGGCUCGUAGCUCAGGGGGAGAGCGCCUGCUUGACACGCAGGAGGUCGGCGGUUCGAAACCGCCCGGGCCUACCA
rnacentral:tRNA from 1 species